UACGGGGGGGGCAAGCGUUGUUCGGAAUUACUGGGCGUAAAGGGCGCGUAGGCGGUUUGCUAAGUUGGAUGUGAAAACUCUGGGCUUAACCCAGAGCCUGCAUCCAAAACUGGCAAACUUGAGUACUGGAGGGGAAAGCGGAAUUCCUGGUGUAGCGGUGAAAUGCGUAGAUAUCAGGAGGAACACCGGUGGCGAAGGCGGGUCUCUGGGCCGAUACUGACGCUGAGGAGCGAAAGCGUGGGGAGCAAACAGG
rnacentral:rRNA from 1 species